AUUGAACGCUGGCGGCAGGCCUAACACAUGCAAGUCGAGCGGAGCGGCGGACGGUUGAGUAAUGCCUAGGAAUCUGCCUGGUAGUGGGGUAUAACGUCCGGAAACGGGCGCUAAUACCGCAUACUAUCAGAUGAGCCUAGGUCGGAUUAGCUAGUUGGUGGGGUAACGGCCUACCAAGUCGACGCUCCGUAACUGGUCUGAGAGGAUGAUCAGUCACACUGGAAAUGAGAAAAGGGCCAGAAUCCAAAGGGAGGCAGCAGUGGGGAAUAUUGGACAAUGGGCGAAAGCCUGAUCCAGCCAGGCCGCGUGUGUGAAGAAGGUCGUCGGAUUGUAAAGCACUUUAAGUUGGGAGGCGUUACCAACAGAAUAAGCACCGGCUAACUUCGUGCCAGCAGCCGCGGUAAUAC
rnacentral:rRNA from 1 species